rnacentral:lncRNA from 1 species
UCCGUGAUGAUGCCACCAGCACCUACGACUUCCUCGACCACCACCACCAUGAUGACGACUUCCUCGAAAGUGGUGAGUACUCCUCCAAUGCUUGUACUCUUAUCAAUGUUUACUGCUGUGAUCAUGGAGUAGUUAGCUGCUGUUAUCAUGGCAGGAGUAAUGCACCAUUAGUUGGUAAGAAAUAAUGUCAGUAUGAAACCUCUCGACAUUAACUGUUUUUUUUGUGAGGAACAGUACAUGGUUUCAACUUUAUUUGCCCCAUUCCAUGUUCUGAAAUCAUUACCAAAUCAUACGAAGCAUGAUAACAAUGUUCAAGCUGAUUUGGUGAAUCCGUAGAUUACAUCUUACUGUGUGUUCCCAAAAUAUUCAGCAUUGCAAAACAAAGAAAUAUUAAAUACAAGUUUCACUAUGGAUGAUAGUGUGAAACACUAUAUCAUAUUUUCUUUUUCCUGGGAGCAUCAUGGACCAACUUGUCAAUGUAACCUCGGUUGUAUACUACAUCUACAUCCCUGUCAAUGAACAUGUGCACUAUUGAACUAUCUAUGCAUCCACAUCUCUAUGAAGAUACAUAUACUACUGCAUCUUGGAUGAAUACUAUUGUCAGUUUACUCGCAUGAGCCAUUCAAGGAAAGUAGUCUCUCAGUUCUAGUGUACCUAGAUGUACGAUGAAACGAACUUGUGAACCAAAGCAAUUUGAGUUGACAACCGGACAGAGGAAGCGGGCAAGAGAUGAUUUAUUUAUGGGCGAUGAUGAUUUGCUACAAAUACAUAUACUGCUACCUUCCAUGCAUGUCAGUAUCUGAUGCUACCACUUGAUUCCCUGAAGAUUGAAGAACCACCUCCUACCAUUAAUAAAUCAUUUCAUAUAAACUACUGUACCUAGCAAUGUAAAAAAUACAAAAAGGAUAAAAUCACUAACCUGUCAUAGAAAAAAUGGCACACUCCUGGCCGUCCUGCAUGUUUUGGCUUCAAUUUCCCUCGCCUUGCAUGUCACUGCGUCCUUAAGAAAAACAAACACAUUGAUAAUUAUAAUUAAGAACUUCGCCUACAACAAAACAAAACCAGCAGAAACUGAUCGCUUUCAUUGUCUUCAAGACCCUCAUUGUCCUCUAAUAAUAUAGUUUGAGAGAAGUCCACAUUACCCCUCGAACUUGUCUUUGGCUUCACUUUACAAACCUCAGAAUUGUGUUCGUUCAAGUUUCAUCCUUCAACUUUAUAAACCGUUCAUAAUUAUAAGGGGUCUGCUUCAGUAUACCCAGCCUUCUCUUAUUUUAUUUAUUAGAACAUGCCGAUGUUACAUUAUUCUGAACUUCCCAUCUUAUUUAUUAGAACAUGCCGAUGCCACUGAAAAUUAUGAUUACUAUAUCCGCACAGCCUCAUACCUGGACUACUUGGGUAAUUCUCAUCAACAUUUCGUAUGAAAGGCGCAUCAAGCCCUACCUGAUUCCCCUCGUACGUAUGAUCAGAACCUACAUGGAAGGGAUCAACAAAAAAGCCGUAAGCUGUAGACAGAAACAAAGAUGAACACCCAUAAGCAUAAACUGUUUCGUAUGAAAGGCACAUCGGGUAGUACCAUUUGAAUUUUCCGGUACAUAUGCACCAUAAACAUGUGUGAGAUUACUCGCCGCCGGCAACGAAGCAACUUGAUGCACACCCACCCGUAGCAAACUUGUUCCAUCUGAUUGUUCUUGCCUGGAUCAAUACAAAGCCGAUGAUAUAUAGGCAACAAAGUAUGCAGGCAACAUUCUCAGCAUUGAGUAGCUAUAUCGUCAACAUUUUCCUUUUCCCUUUUAUCCUCAUCUACCUAAAUACCCAGAUAGAACUCUGCUUGCCCAACAGCUCCACAUGCUCUGACUUCUUCUGUCUUUUUAGCUUCUCCUUAUUCCUCCAGCUCUCGGCUUCUCAACUUCUAAGAUCUUUCUUUCAUCUGUACAUCAUCACAUGUGCGCUAUAGGUGUGCCUAAAGAUCAUUUUAUUGCCACUAACAAAAUGGUGAGCUAUUCUAAAAACAGGCACACCAUGAUAAUUAAGGUAAAACAAGGUUGAGUCUCAUGGGCAGUACUACAGACAAAUAGGAGUCCUUGUUUCCUGUAAGAGGUUCAUAUGAAAAGUUAAGGCAAUGAUAAUUAGUAAGACUGACGCUCCGAAUUAAAGCCGAUUGGAUGAGGUAAUUCGUCAAAGAAGUACAAUGCAAAGCUGAAACAAUGCAAGUGAAUUAAAAGAGGGGCUGAUGGAAAUUGAGCUUCAAGCGGCGACAUCCUUCGUGGCAUAUGUAAUACAACCGAUUCAGUUCAAAUAUGUAUUUAUUAUGUUAGCAUGAAGGGUAAAAAGAAAGGGGACAAACUAAUCUUAUGUUUAAGCAUACAAAAAAAGUAAAAUCUAAAUAGUGAUGUGAUCACUUCCUUUUAAACAGUUGUUACGAUCAGGUCAGAAGAUUGAAAAACUAUAAUAUUUAUAACAAUGGAAUAGAGGGGCUACUACAUUACACACUUAUGUUUCUACUCAUUCAGUUGAGGAAAAUCCAUGAUGCACAAAACAAGAUCAAUUUCAUCAAUCUGAUUGUUAAUGACCACAAAAUGACAUGAUACAAAAGAAAAUAGCAUGUGCAUUUAAUAGAAAGUGCUUGUGCAUUGCUACUGGUAAUAAUGGAGAUAACUGAAUACCAUGUGAAUUUAACGCAAAAUGAAGGUUCCAACCAAAGAUUCGAAAUACCCAUCACCUCCAUGACAUGAUAAUUUAGAAUGACAUAUGAGUGAAUAUCACCAAAAGGAGGACCUCCUAUGGUGUAGGAGGCUUAAAUCUGAUAUAUCAAGAUCAAAGUCUUCUCACCAUAAUGGAGAUAACUGAAUACCAUGUGCAUUUAAUAACACAAAAUGAAGGUUCCGACCAAAGAUUUGAAAUAACGAGAACCUCCAUCACAUGAUAAUUUAAAAUAACAUAUGUGAAUGUAUUUGUACUGUAAAGUUAUUCAAUGUGCCAUGUGAUAGGAAAGAGAGAAAAUAUGCCUAGGUAGGUUCUUACUACAAUUGUUGCUCCUGCUACUAAUUACCAGUUACUUCAAUCAAUAGCUAAAAAGUAUUUUAACGUUUCUCUGCCCUAAAAAGUAUUUUAAUGUUUUUCUCUGCCCCUGCUCUUGGAUUUGAUUGCAGACUUGAUUAGCCUUACCGAAUCUUAGAGUUGCUUCGCCAAGGCGUGUCGUUUUUCACCUUCCCAUUGCAUUCAACAAAAUAUUUUCCUAUCACUCCCUUUAGCUGAUGGUUCAUCCCCACAUAAGAUGUACCUGAUGCUCCCUGGAAAACCACAUCUGUGUAUCUUCUGUUACAUACAUGAGAUUCUCUAAUGCGUGUUUAGGCAGGAGCUAGCAUAUUAGGAAUGAAACAUACAAGCCCGAUGAACACUGGAUUCACGCACAACCACAGGAAAUCCCUCCAAACUAAACUAACCUGUGAAUCCCGCUUCAGCGAGGCAGGUGAGGAGGAGGGUUACCAGAGGCUGGAGGAAAAUGAGAGCAGGGACUGCCCGCCGAGCAUCCCCAUCGCUGGCGAGCCGAGCAUCCCCAGCCGGUAGCAAGGGACAAGGGAGCAGUAGGCACUACAUACCUCCAUUAUUAUAGUUAAAUGUCAUGUCUGGACUGACCUUUCCUUCUUCCUGGGCAGCCAACACUUUGUAGUUGGAAAUACUAUCAGUUUACACUCCUGAUGAAGUGGUAAAAAUACAUAAUUGAGAAAUAGAUUUACCCUUAUAAUUGCUUGCACUGCACACUUCCUUACAUUUGAAUUUGCAGAUGAUUCUUCAAAUGAGAGAUGUUCCAAAAUUUAGUGAUUACCUGAUGUUUCAGAUGAUGAUCAGGAUGAUUGACAAGGAAGAAAUGUUCCACAGGCUUGCUAUCUGAUUCAUCGGGGUCUGGUGGUAUGUUCCGUACAAGAACCUACAAUAAAAACACAUUGAUGACUCAGAAUCAAAAGAAUAAUCAGAGAACCAUUAAUCUAGAUAAGAUCAUUGUUGUAUGCAGCAUUCUUUUUUCUAGCAAAGGGGUCUAAACUGAGCUCAUGUAUAAGUUGCAAUCACAAAGGGAUCCCA